CAGCAGGUUUGCCGGCGCCGUCCUGGAGCCGGUCAGGUCCUGGACGAGGAACUCUGUCCAGUCGCUGUGUUUCUCCUUGAUGGCUGCAGGGAGAGACGAAGAAAAAAAAAAACAUGCAGAAAAUCAAAGACUCGGUGUGUUUGUUGAACGUGGAGGAGGACGAGGAGGAAAAUAAGAAAAAGAGAGAUUAAACGGAGGAGGAGGAGGAGGAGGAGGAGGAGGAGGAGGAAGCAGCAGCACGCUGCACAUGCAGCUCUAACGUGGACACAGUGGCAGUAGUGAGCCGAGCGACAGAGUUGGAGUCGAGAGGCACCGUGAAGAGUAAGAGCCGCUUACCUUUUCUUAGGAGCGUCUGUCGGGAAUUCCGGUCUGACUUCCAAAAAAAACGUCCCGAGUGAGACGACAGCGGGAAAAUGUCCAGAAAAGACGUCACGGAAUUCUCUCUGUCGGUGUGAACGCGACUCCUGCCGAAGGAAAACCUGUCUUUCCACUAAGUUUAUUUAAAGCGUCCUGUGAAAGAGAGAUCAGGUUCGGGGUUUCCUCCUCCUACCUUCGGGGGGCAUGAGGGUCUUGUCGUUCUGCGCGCACCAUCCCACCGGGUGCAGGUCGGCCGUCAUGACGUCGCACCAGAAGUCGGCCUUGCGGUCGUCGCCGUAGCCGCUGAAGCGCAGCAGCAGCAGCUGGCCGCACGUGGUGAUGAUGGUGGCCACCCAGUACGUGUCCGCGCUGCCCUUGUUGGCCACCUCCAGCUUCAUGCCGGGCUGGAAGCUGCUCUGCAGGCUGAGCUCCACCUGGGAGGGGCGACAGGUUGGUUAAACUACAGCUCCACCGCUGGUUUGGCGACGUCCCCAUGUGCAUCACAGGAGAAAUUCCCCGUAAUUCAGUGACUCUUGCAUCGACAUACAGCCGCUAUCAGCUCGACCGAAUCAGACGCACGGAGGAAAGAGACAUUUCAAGUGGAACCCAAUGGCAGUGAAGAAGCAGCUGUGUGUGACACGGGGAACAACCUUCUCCCCCGUUGGUGACGGCGACAACCCGCCCGUCUGACGCCAGUGUGAAUCACAGAUAAAACCUGCAGAGUCAGCGUCUAAAUAUAAAAGAACCUUGUUGUGUUUUACAGUCUGUGCCGCGUCAAGCCCCGAUCACAUGCACACGCCGUCAACGCACAGAAUAAAAAGGUCUGUGUCCUUAUAAACAAAGUCUGCGUCCACGCUAAAAACUAAAACGCCCUGAGCAUCAGUGUCGUGUGGAAACAGGAAGCAGGUCUGAAGUCGGUUGCUCGGUUACAGAAAGAACUAUCAAGGAGCGAACAAUGACCGAGAAGUGGCAGCACGUGGAAAGUAAAGAGCGCUGGGGAUUUCUUUUUAUAGGAGCGGCGGCGGCGAGGUGGACCUGUUACUGACAGCGAGUGUUUUGGCGACGCGUCGGCAUCGCCGCCGUGGCGGUCGAGUCGUUGGCCGAUGAGAACCAAUCAGGAAGCGGCUUCGUUGUCGUUUCUCGACGCGACUGCCCGACGCAACUGCCCCCCAAUGUGAUAUGAUAUUAUUCCUAUGAUUCCAACAAUACGCCCAUUUGCGAGCAAGGAAACAGAAAAGUAAAUGAAAAGCUCAGUUAUAUUUCCGUCACUCAAUCAUUUUAAAUGACCUUCCUUGUAUUGGUUGUAUUUCCCUUUGUGCUCCAGUAAUUACACACAAACAGUGUUUUGACAAAAGGCCAGCGCAGGUUAUCUAAAGACAUGUGCGUCAUGAGGGAACAAAGGCCAAUGAAAAGGCUCCAUUCGGCGGCGUAACCGCGGCGAUGCUGCUGAGCCCCCGACCCCCCCCCGGCUCUCUGCAACAUGUCGUUAGAGGACUUUCUGCAUAUCGGUGCUUAUCGGAGAGAGGCUGCAUUUAAAGGAUCACCAGGUUCUAGAGCGUGACGAUCGCAACGCAGCCACUCA